GCAGCUUAGAAAAUUCCCCUUUGUUGAGACCAGGAAUGUCAUAAGGUUGAAGAAGUGUUGGGUCAGAAACAGUAUCAUCAUUCCCAGGAGUGUUAGCCUUUUGGCCAGAAUUAGCAAGCUCAACAUGAACAACUGUUCUUUUAGAUGGUGGCUUAGAGAACUUAAAAUUUGGAGGAAAGCCAUGAAGUUUAUAACAUUUGUCA
rnacentral:lncRNA from 1 species